GUCAUAAGAAGGAUAACAGGAGACAGGAUUCAUCAGCAGACAGGGUAUUUUAGUACCUAAUUGAACAUGGAAGCUGCUGUAUUUUUUCUUUCAACCCUAUAUUUUUUUUUCCCACUCGGAUCAUAAGGAGGGGAAGCAAGGCUGGCAAGACCCUAUCUGGAUUGGAAUGAGCUUUACUCCAUGAUCCUCCAUAAGGGAAAGUAUUGAUAUGAAAAUAAGAUCAAAAGGCAUAUUCUACUUCUGGAACCCUUGAGUAAACAGGUAAAAUACACUCAUGUAAAUAUCGUGUGGGAAUCCACCUUUUAAAAUAUUACUUUUUUUUUUUUUGGCUUUU
ensembl:lncRNA